GAUGAACGCUGGCGGCGUGCCUAAUACAUGCAAGUCGAGCGAACAGACGAGGAGCUUGCGCCUCUGACGUUAGCGGCGGACGGGUGAGUAACACGUGGAUAACCUACCUAUAAGACUGGGAUAACUUCGGGAAACCGGAGCUAAUACCGGAUAAUAUAUUGAACCGCAUGGUUCAAUAGUGAAAGACGGUUUUGCUGUCACUUAUAGAUGGAUCCGCGCCGCAUUAGCUAGUUGGUAAGGUAACGGCUUACCAAGGCAACUAUGCGUAGCCGACCUGAGAGAGUGAUCGGCCACACUGGAACUUAGACACGGUCCAGACUCCUACGGGAGGCAGCAGUAGGGAAUCUUCCGCAAUGGGCGAAAGCCUUACGGAGCAACGCCGCGUGAGUGAUGAAGGUCUUCGGAUCGUAAAACUCUGUUAUUAGGGAAGAACAAAUGUGUAAGUAACUAUGCACGUCUUGACGGUACCUAAUCAGAAAGCCACGGCUAACUACGUG
rnacentral:rRNA from 1 species